UCCGUAGGCGGGCUAAUAAGUCAGGGGUGAAACCCCACAGCUUAACUGUGGAACUGCCUUUGAUACUGUUAGUCUUGAGUUAUAUGGAAGUAGAUAGAAUGUGUAGUGUAGCGGUGAAAUGCAUAGAGAUUACACAGAAUACCGAUUGCGAAGGCAGUCUACUACGUAUAUACUGACGCUAAUGGACGAAAGCGUGGGGAGCGAACAGGAUUAGAUACCCUGGUAGUCC
rnacentral:rRNA from 1 species